AUGACUUUUUCUGUGCCUGGUGAGGGUAAAACAUGCAAGUGAGGAGGAAGAGAGGAAGAGGUGCAUGAAGAGUACACGAAAUCUCAUGACUGAUAUCAUAUGAUGUCCACAUCAUUUGGGAUCAACCGAAGAGGACAGAUUCUGCUUCUGCUCCCUGAAAAGAGCUCAGGGGAUGAAGAUGGCUGUGUAAUGGUAAAAAGGAAAAGCCAAAAGGUUAUAUCCAGGCUAUAAUGUUUUCGGCGUGCAAAAUGUGCCCUACAUACAGAAGACUGCAUUUUAAAAAGUCAAAUAUAUAGAGAUAAUGAAGAAAGCCAUGGUCCCAGGGGACAGUAAUGUGGAGGAAGAAAUACAGAGAUGUACCUGGGAGGAUGCAAAGUAAAACACAUGGAGAUUGAACAAAUCCAAAGAUCUACUGUAUGAGAUGAAGACUACAGGUAAUGAACAUAUGCUAUAUUUAGUAUUUUUGCUAAAUGGAAUCAAUUUUAG
rnacentral:lncRNA from 1 species